rnacentral:rRNA from 1 species
AAUCAACGCUGGCGGCGUGCCUAACACAUGCAAGUCGAACGCGAAAGCCCGCAAGGGUAAGUAGAGUGGCGCACGGGUGAGUAACACGUGGACAACCUGCCUUCGAGUGGGGAAUAACCUUCCGAAAGGAGGGCUAAUACCGCAUAACACCUCGGGACACAAGUUCUGGGGUUAGAAAAGAGCAAUUUGCUCGAAGAGGGGUCCGCGCCUGAUUAGCUAGUUGGUGAGGUAACGGCUCACCAAGGCUUCGAUCAGUAGCCGUCCUGAGAGGGAGCACGGCCACACUGGAACUGAGACACGGUCCAGACUCCUACGGGAGGCAGCAGGUGGGGUAAUUUUUGGCAAUGGGCGAAAGCCUGACCAAGCAACGCCGCGUGGGUGAUGAAGUAUCUU